CCUACGGGCGGCAGCAGUGGGGAAUAUUGCACAAUGGGGGAAACCCUGAUGCAGCGACGCCGCGUGAGCGAUGAAGUUUUUCGGUAUGUAAAGCUCUUUCAGCCGGGAAGAAAAUGAUGGUACCUGACUCAGAAUCCCCGGCUAACUACGUGCCAGCAGCCGCGGUAAUACGUAGGCGGCAACCGUUAUCCGGAUUUACUGGUGGUAAAGGGAGCGUCGACGGCGAUGCAAGCCAGGUGUGAAAGCCCGGGGCUCAACCCCGGGACUGCAUUUGGAACUGUAUAGCUGGAGUGUCGGAGAGGCAGGCGGAAUUCCUAGUGUAGCGGUGAAAUGCGUAGAUAUUAGGAGGAACACCAGUGGCGAAGGCGGCCUGCUGGACGAUGACUGACGUUGAGGCUCGAAAGCGUGGGGAGCAAACAGGAUUAGAUACCCCUGUAGUC
rnacentral:rRNA from 1 species